rnacentral:rRNA from 1 species
GACGAACGCUGGCGGCGUGCUUAACACAUGCAAGUCGAACGGAAAGGCCCUGCUUGCAGGGUACUCGAGUGGCGAACGGGUGAGUAACACGUGGGUGAUCUGCCCUGCACUUCGGGAUAAGCCUGGGAAACUGGGUCUAAUACCGGAUAGGAGCCAUUUUUAGUGUGAUGGUUGGAAAGUUUUUUCGGUGUAGGAUGAGCUCGCGACCUAUCAGCUUGUUGGUGGGGUAAUGGCCUACCAAGGCGGCGACGGGUAGCCGGCCUGAGAGGGUGGACGGCCACAUUGGGACUGAGAUACGGCCCAGACUCCUACGGGAGGCAGCAGUGGGGAAUAUUGCACAAUGGGCGCAAGCCUGAUGCAGCGACGCCGCGUGGGGGAUGACGGCCUUCGGGUUGUAAACUCCUUUCGCUAGGGACGAAGCUUUUUGUGACGGUACCUAGAUAAGAAGCACCGGCUAACUACGUG